GAGUUUGAUCUUGGCUCAGAUUGAACGCUGGCGGCAUGCCUUACACAUGCAAGUCGAACGGCAGCAUGAUCUAGCUUGCUAGAUUGAUGGCGAGUGGCGAACGGGUGAGUAAUACAUCGGAACGUGCCCUGUAGUGGGGGAUAACUAGUCGAAAGAUUAGCUAAUACCGCAUACGACCUGAGGGUGAAAGUGGGGGACCGCAAGGCCUCAUGCUAUAGGAGCGGCCGAUGUCUGAUUAGCUAGUUGGUGGGGUAAAGGCCCACCAAGGCGACGAUCAGUAGCUGGUCUGAGAGGACGAUCAGCCACACUGGGACUGAGACACGGCCCAGACUCCUACGGGAGGCAGCAGUGGGAAUUUUGGACAAUGGGCGAAAGCCUGAUCCAGCAAUGCCGCGUGUGUGAAGAAGGCCU
rnacentral:rRNA from 1 species